rnacentral:rRNA from 1 species
AGCUAAAUGGAGUUUAAUAUUUAGUGAUUUCUGCUCAAUGGUUUACUAAAUAGCCGCAGUACCCUGACUGUGCAAAGGUAGCAUAAUCAUUUGGCUUAUAAUUGAAGUCUAGUAUGAAUGAAUUUAUGGGAAACAUCUGUCUACUGUAUUUUUACAAAACUUAAUUAAUAAGUGAAAAUUCUUAUAGAUAAAUAAAAGACGAGAAGACCCUAGAAAUUUUAUUAAGUAUAAUAUUAUAUUACAUCAUUUUGUUGGGGCGACAGAAUAACAAAUAACUUAUUUUAUUUGAUAUGCAUUAUGUAUUAUGAAAAAUUAAAUUACUCUAGGGAUAACAGCAUAAUUUGUAAAAGUUUGUGACCUCGAUGUUGGACUAGGGACUUAAAUAUUCAAAAGGUAUUUAAAUUUGCUCUGUUCGAGCAUUAAUCCCUACAUGAUCUGA